UACAGAGGUCCCGAGCGUUGUUCGGAUUCACUGGGCGUAAAGGGUGCGUAGGUGGUGAGGAAAGUCGGAUGUGAAAUCUCCAAGCUUAACUUGGAGGCGCCACCUGAAACUGCCGUGACUAGAGUCCGGUAGGGGAGUGUGGAAUUCCCGGUGUAGCGGUGAAAUGCGCAGAUAUCGGGAGGAACACCAGUGGCGAAGGCGGCACUCUGGGCCGGAACUGACGCUGAGGAGCGAAAGCGUGGGGAGCGAACAGG
rnacentral:rRNA from 1 species